UACGUAGGGUGCAAGCGUUGUCCGGAAUUAUUGGGCGUAAAGAGCUCGUAGGCGGUUCGUCGCGUCGGCUGUGAAAUCCCGAGGCUCAACCUCGGGUCUGCAGUCGAUACGGGCGGACUGGAGUACUGCAGGGGAGACUGGAAUUCCUGGUGUAGCGGUGAAAUGCGCAGAUAUCAGGAGGAACACCGGUGGCGAAGGCGGGUCUCUGGGCAGUUACUGACGCUGAGGAGCGAAGGCGUGGGGAGCGAACGGG
rnacentral:rRNA from 1 species